GACCCAGUGGUGUAGUGGUAACACACUUUCUCAAAGUAACUCGUUGCUAACCACGUCUGCAAGAGACCCCUGUUCAAUGCAGGGUUGGGUCA